UACCACUGUAUAUAAGAGGCUGCUGGAUGAGGCCAGCAGUCCAUCUAGUCAGGAAUCCUGUCCUCACAGUGGCCACCGCUGGAAUAUAUACCCGUUUAUACCUUCAGUGGCCUUCUGCUUCCUCAAUUGACCUGGUUCUCUUUUAAUGCCCUCCCAAGUUUAAGAACUUGUAAGGGGCAAAGGGGUUGCAGAACACACAACACAUCCAGGUGUUGAGGUCCCCUUUUUUCUGCAGAACCUGCCGACUCAGACACCCUCCGCCCACCUCGAGUCUGCCUUGUGGCUGCAAGGUGUGACCAGCUGGUCCCUUCAGAAAAUGCAAGCGCUUCUGAAGUUUUUGAUAAGCCCCUUUCUCUCUCUCCCCACCCACUCCUUAGGAGUGGUAAGGACACAGGGGCAGAGGCAGUGACACAUCAAGGGUGCCUAUCACGGCUUAGGGUGGUGGUUAUGAAGGUGGCAGCGGAUGCUCCAGGUCUGUGCCAAGCCUAUAGAGGCAAAGUGCAGCCCCUUGAAACCUGCUCUCAAUGGGUAAAAGCCCAGGGAACAGAGGAAGGAAUGGACGGUAACAGAGCAUGUGAAGAAGGCCUUUCUUUCUUGCCAAGUCCCUGCAAAGCUGAGCGGAAAUCACAUCUUGGAGGGUCCUCCAUACUGGUGGGUUUUCUGUUUGGCUUGUUUUUUGUGGAUGCACUUUGCAAUUUUAAGAACACAAAGAAGAGCUUUCUGGAUCAGGCCACUGACCCACCUUGUCCUAUCAGCCAGCCAAAUGCCUGUGAGAAACCCGCAAACAGGAUUUCGGCACAACAGCAUCUUCCCUGUGGUUCCCAGCAAGUGGUAAUUCAAGAAGCAUGACUGCCUCAGCGAAGGCAGCAUUAGCCAUUGUGCCUAGGAGCUGUUUAUAGCCUUGUCUUCCAUUAAUUUGUUCAGUCCUCUUUUAUAAGCCACCUUGGUUGUCGAUCAUUGCUGCUGCCUCCUCUGGAGCCGAGUUCCGUAGUUUAACUCGUGCAUUGCACGAAGAAGUACUUUCUUUGAGUACUGACUCACUAAUGGGGAAUUAGUGGUGGAUUUACACUGCCCUGUCGUCCAAACAUUCUAAUUCACGAGUCGUUCUGCGAUGCUUCCUCCACUGCCGAGUCUGGAGGGGAGAUCUUGCACCAAGGCACAACAAAAAAGAGGAUUUUGUGGUAUAAAAUCCUGCAGGAUUUCAUCAGGAAGUUAAGGGACACAUGCCAAAAGCCGUGAGCUUAGCCACCCUUUGGGUUGACCCUGAUUAAUUCCCUCUGGGUUCGAGAGCUUUUCCCACUCUUCUGCCUUGCGAAAAUGUGAUCUGACCUGCUGAGCUGAAGUUCGGUUCAGCAAAACCUUUCUUCCGAUUUUUCCGUGCAUCUGAUCCAAUUCAGUGGGUAAGAUUGGAUUGAUUUUAUUUUUUAUUUCGCAAGGCACAGAAUGACAAGAAAAGCGCUCUGACCCAGGGGAAACAGGCUGAGCAAAGGUGUGGAUCAGCCAAUCUCCCGCAAAACACUUGAGGGCAAACAUGGAAAAUGGGUUCACGUAUAACUGCCCUGAUCCGGUCGUGAACACAAUGGAUGUCCAGUGCGUUUGAGCUUCUCAUCCUACGCCCCACCCUGCUGUCAAACGUCCAUUUCUUGAGUAGCAGCUGUGCACUUCCAGGAUCGCAUGAUUUUCAUGGCCUUUCUCCUGGCUUACCACUCACUGCCUUACCUCCUGCGUUCUUCCUGCCCUCCCUGCAGCUUCCCUGCCAGUCCAUCCUUUUACAUCCCUUUCCUUGGUCGCUCCCCACAUCCCACACCACUUUCUAACGGUUCUGAGCAACCCCUGGCCCAGACGCUACAGGUUAGAGAAAUGAAGGUACUAUAAUAGAAAAUGGCUUUAAUUGGAAAAUAAGCACACAGCAUUUGUCAGGCACUCUACCGCAAAGUGGUUUGUUGUUUUUUUUGGCAGGUGUGGGGUGUACAUAUAAGGCUACAUCCUUCAAAUCCGUCAUUUUGGAAUCUGAAAGCAGUCUUCUUCCAGGAAUAAAAUUCCUGUCCCUUUAAGAAAAGAACCAGGCUCCAAGCUGGUUAAUCAUUAAUUGUUCCAUUUCAUUAUUGGUUGUAGCCUUCCAAACAAAAGGUCCAGAAAGCCAGUCAGAAGACACACACACACAUCCCUGCCCCACAGUCACAAAUGCUUUGAGGUUUGUGCCUUUAGUCUGCCUCUUAAAAGGGAGGUUAAAAGCUACGGCAUGUGGAGAAUUCUCCAUCUGUAGCUGAAUUGAAAAGGCUGCUGUUGCAAUGGCUUCUUUAAAACGAUGUGCUAGAUAUGGCGGUUAACUGAUAAUCCAUCUUCCACAACAGCUCUCCUUAAGGAGAGCGUGCCCUUCAGGUGGGUGAUGAUAUUAAAAGAGAAGCAUAUGUGUUUGGUAUUUAAAACAGCAAUUCCUUUGAUGAAUUCCUUAAUAAUAAUUUUU